GAGUUUAAUCGUGGCUCAGGACGAACGCUGGCGGCGUGCCUAAUACAUGCAAGUUGAACGAUGAUUUCUGGUACUUGUAUCAGAAUGAAGAGUAGCGAACGGGUGAGUAACGCGUGGGUAACCUACCUCUUAGCGGGGGACAACUAUUGGAAACGAUAGCUAAUACCGCAUAACAAUGCUAAACACAUGUUUAACAUUUGAAAGUACCAAUUGGUACACUAGGAGAUGGACCCGCGUUGUAUUAGCUAGUUGGUAGUGUAAUGGACUACCAAGGCGAUGAUACAUAGCCGACCUGAGAGGGUGAUCGGCCACAUUGGGACUGAGACACGGCCCAAACUCCUACGGGAGGCAGCAGUAGGGAAUCUUCGGCAAUGGACGAAAGUCUGACCGAGCAACGCCGCGUGAGUGAAGAAGGUUUUCGGAUCGUAAAACUCUGUUGUUAGAGAAGAACGUUGUGUAGAGUGGAAAAUUACACAAGUGACGGUAUCUAAACCAGAAAGGACGGCUAACUACGUGCCAGCAGCCGCAGUAA
rnacentral:rRNA from 1 species